AGUGAACGCUGGCGGUAGGCCUAACACAUGCAAGUCGAACGGCAGCACAGUAAGAGCUUGCUCUUACGGGUGGCGAGUGGCGGACGGGUGAGGAAUACAUCGGAAUCUACUUUUUCGUGGGGGAUAACGUAGGGAAACUUACGCUAAUACCGCAUACGACCUACGGGUGAAAGCAGUGGAUCUUCGGACCUUGCGCGAUUGAAUGAGCCGAUGUCGGAUUAGCUAGUGGGCGGGGUAAAGGCCCACCAAGGCGACGAUCCGUAGCUGGUCUGAGAGGAUGGUCAGCCACCCUGGAACUGAGACACGGUCCAGACUCCUACGGGAGGCAGCAGUGGGGAAUAUUGGACAAUGGGCGCAAGCCUGAUCCAGCCAUACCGCGUGGGUGAAGAAGGCCUUCGGGUUGUAAAGCCCUUUUGUUGGGAAAGAAAAGCAGCAGGUUAAUACCCCGCUGUUCUGACGGUACCCAAAGAAUAAGCACCGGCUAACUUCGUG
rnacentral:rRNA from 1 species